GAUGAACGCUGGCGGCGUGCCUAAUACAUGCAAGUCGAGCGAACAGACGAGGAUCUUGCUCCUCUGACGUUAGCGGCGGACGGGUGAGUAACACGUGUAUAACCUACCUAUAAGACUGGGAUAACUUCGGGAAACCGGAGCUAAUACCGUAUAAUAUAUUGAACCGCAUGGUUCAAUAGUGAAAGACGGUUUUGCUGUCACUUAUAGAUGGAUCCGCGCCGCAUUAGCUAGUUGGUAAGGUAACGGCUUACCAAGGCAACGAUGCGUAGCCGACCUGAGAGAGUGAUCGGCCACACUGGAACUGAGACACGGUCCAGACUACUACGGGAGGCAGCAGUAGGGAAUCUGCCGCAAUGGGCGAAAGCCUGACGGAGCAACGCCGCGUGAGUGAUGAAGGUCUUCGGAUCGUAAAACUCUGUUAUUAGGGAAGAACAAAUGUGUAAGUAACUAUGCACGUCUUGACGGUACCUAAUCAGAAAGCCACGGCUAACUACGUG
rnacentral:rRNA from 1 species